rnacentral:rRNA from 1 species
UACGUAGGGUGCGAGCGUUGUCCGGAAUUAUUGGGCGUAAAGAGCUUGUAGGCGGUUUGUCGCGUCUGCUGUGAAAAUCCGGGACUCAACCCCGGACCUGCAGUGGGUACGGGCAGACUAGAGUGUGGUAGGGGAGACUGGAAUUCCUGGUGUAGCGGUGAAAUGCGCAGAUAUCAGGAGGAACACCGAUGGCGAAGGCAGGUCUCUGGGCCACUACUGACGCUGAGAAGCGAAAGCAUGGGGGAGCGAACAGG